UACGGAAGGCAGCAGUGGGGAAUAUUGCACAAUGGGCGCAAGCCUGAUGCAGCCAUGCCGCGUGUAUGAAGAAGGCCUUCGGGUUGUAAAGUACUUUCAGUCGUGAGGAAGGUGUUAAGGUUAAUAACCUUAGCAAUUGACGUUAGCGACAGAAGAAGCACCGGCUAACUCCGUGCCAGCAGCCGCGGUAAUACGGAGGGUGCGAGCGUUAAUCGGAAUUACUGGGCGUAAAGGGCACGCAGGCGGUUAAUUAAGUUGGAUGUGAAAUCCCCGGGCUUAACCUGGGAAUGGCAUUCAAGACUGGUUAGCUAGAGUCUUGUAGAGGGGGUAGAAUUCCGAUGUGUAGCGGUGAAAUGCGUAGAGAUGUGGAGGAAUACCGGGUGGCGAAGGCGGCCCCUGGGACAAAGGCUGACGCUCAUGUGCGAAAGCGUGGGGAGCAAACAGGGAUUAGAUACC
rnacentral:rRNA from 1 species